CCUACGGGAGGCAGCAGUGAGGAAUAUUUGUCAAUGGACGAGAGUCUGAACCAGCCAAGUAGCGUGAAGGAUGACUGCCCUCUGGGUUGUAAACUUCUUUUAUAAGGGAAUAAAAUGUUCCACGUGUGGGUUUUUGUAUGUACUUUAUGAAUAAGGAUCGGCUAACUCCGUUCCAGCAGCCGCGGUAAUACGGAGGAUCCGAGCGUUAUCCGGAUUUAUUGGGGUUAAGGGGAGCGUAGGUGGGUUGUUAAGUCAGUUGUGAAAGUUUGCGGCUCAACCGUAAAAUUGCAGUUGAUACUGGCAGUAUUGAGUACAGUAGAGGUGGGCGGAAUUCGUGGUGUAGCGGUGAAAUGCUUAGAUAUCACGAAGAACUCUGAUUGCGAAGGCAGCUCACUGGACUGCAACUGACACUGAGGCUCGAAAGUGUGGGUAUCAAACAGGAUUAGAUACCCUUGUAGUC
rnacentral:rRNA from 1 species